UGAAAGGCGAAACGUAAUGUGAAUCGCAACUAACAGUGAAUCAUCGAAUCUUUGAACGCAGGCCGCACCUUGUAAUAUCACCUAGUGUUAUUGCAAGGUAUCUACGUAUGAGUGUCAGCCCAAUAUCAUUUAGGUUCAAGAUAAUAAUAUUGUGUUGAUUUUUUUAUUUAUUGAAAAAAUCUUUCAUUAUUACCUUCUUGGAUACAUAUUAUAAAUUUGUUUUUAAAAAAAAGAACAUUUAAAAUAUGUCUGGCCUCAUAUGUGGAAGGUUACCCGCUGGAUUUAA
rnacentral:misc_RNA from 1 species